GGUUAAGCGACUAAGCGUACACGGUGGAUGCCCUGGCAGUCAGAGGCGAUGAAGGACGUGCUAAUCUGCGAUAAGCGUCGGUAAGGUGAUAUGAACCGUUAUAACCGGCGAUUUCCGAAUGGGGAAACCCAGUGUGAUUCGUCACACUAUCAUUAACUGAAUCCAUAGGUUAAUGAGGCGAACCGGGGGAACUGAAACAUCUAAGUACCCCGAGGAAAAGAAAUCAACCGAGAUUCCCCCAGUAGCGGCGAGCGAACGGGGAGGAGCCCAGAGCCUGAAUCAGUGUGUGUGUUAGUGGAAGCGUCUGGAAAGGCGCGCGAUACAGGGUGACAGCCCCGUACACAAAAAUGCACAUGCUGUGAGCUCGAUGAGUAGGGCGGGACACGUGGUAUCCUGUCUGAAUAUGGGGGGACCAUCCUCCAAGGCUAAAUACUCCUGACUGACCGAUAGUGAACCAGUACCGUGAGGGAAAGGCGAAAAGAACCCCGGCGAGGGGAGUGAAAAAGAACCUGAAACCGUGUACGUACAAGCAGUGGGAGCACGCUUAGGCGUGUGACUGCGUACCUUUUGUAUAAUGGGUCAGCGACUUAUAUUCUGUAGCAAGGUUAACCGAAUAGGGGAGCCGAAGGGAAACCGAGUCUUAACUGGGCGUUAAGUUGCAGGGUAUAGACCCGAAACCCGGUGAUCUAGCCAUGGGCAGGUUGAAGGUUGGGUAACACUAACUGGAGGACCGAACCGACUAAUGUUGAAAAAUUAGCGGAUGACUUGUGGCUGGGGGUGAAAGGCCAAUCAAACCGGGAGAUAGCUGGUUCUCCCCGAAAGCUAUUUAGGUAGCGCCUCGUGAAUUCAUCUCCGGGGGUAGAGCACUGUUUCGGCAAGGGGGUCAUCCCGACUUACCAACCCGAUGCAAACUGCGAAUACCGGAGAAUGUUAUCACGGGAGACACACGGCGGGUGCUAACGUCCGUCGUGAAGAGGGAAACAACCCAGACCGCCAGCUAAGGUCCCAAAGUCAUGGUUAAGUGGGAAACGAUGUGGGAAGGCCCAGACAGCCAGGAUGUUGGCUUAGAAGCAGCCAUCAUUUAAAGAAAGCGUAAUAGCUCACUGGUCGAGUCGGCCUGCGCGGAAGAUGUAACGGGGCUAAACCAUGCACCGAAGCUGCGGCAGCGACGCUGAUGCGUUGUUGGGUAGGGGAGCGUUCUGUAAGCCUGCGAAGGUGUGCUGUGAGGCAUGCUGGAGGUAUCAGAAGUGCGAAUGCUGACAUAAGUAACGAUAAAGCGGGUGAAAAGCCCGCUCGCCGGAAGACCAAGGGUUCCUGUCCAACGUUAAUCGGGGCAGGGUGAGUCGACCCCUAAGGCGAGGCCGAAAGGCGUAGUCGAUGGGAAACAGGUUAAUAUUCCUGUACUUGGUGUUACUGCGAAGGGGGGACGGAGAAGGCUAUGUUGGCCGGGCGACGGUUGUCCCGGUUUAAGCGUGUAGGCUGGUUUUCCAGGCAAAUCCGGAAAAUCAAGGCUGAGGCGUGAUGACGAGGCACUACGGUGCUGAAGCAACAAAUGCCCUGCUUCCAGGAAAAGCCUCUAAGCAUCAGGUAACAUCAAAUCGUACCCCAAACCGACACAGGUGGUCAGGUAGAGAAUACCAAGGCGCUUGAGAGAACUCGGGUGAAGGAACUAGGCAAAAUGGUGCCGUAACUUCGGGAGAAGGCACGCUGAUAUGUAGGUGAAGCGACUUGCUCGUGGAGCUGAAAUCAGUCGAAGAUACCAGCUGGCUGCAACUGUUUAUUAAAAACACAGCACUGUGCAAACACGAAAGUGGACGUAUACGGUGUGACGCCUGCCCGGUGCCGGAAGGUUAAUUGAUGGGGUUAGCGCAAGCGAAGCUCUUGAUCGAAGCCCCGGUAAACGGCGGCCGUAACUAUAACGGUCCUAAGGUAGCGAAAUUCCUUGUCGGGUAAGUUCCGACCUGCACGAAUGGCGUAAUGAUGGCCAGGCUGUCUCCACCCGAGACUCAGUGAAAUUGAACUCGCUGUGAAGAUGCAGUGUACCCGCGGCAAGACGGAAAGACCCCGUGAACCUUUACUAUAGCUUGACACUGAACAUUGAGCCUUGAUGUGUAGGAUAGGUGGGAGGCUUUGAAGUGUGGACGCCAGUCUGCAUGGAGCCGACCUUGAAAUACCACCCUUUAAUGUUUGAUGUUCUAACGUGGACCCGUAAUCCGGGUUGCGGACAGUGUCUGGUGGGUAGUUUGACUGGGGCGGUCUCCUCCUAAAGAGUAACGGAGGAGCACGAAGGUUGGCUAAUCCUGGUCGGACAUCAGGAGGUUAGUGCAAUGGCAUAAGCCAGCUUGACUGCGAGCGUGACGGCGCGAGCAGGUGCGAAAGCAGGUCAUAGUGAUCCGGUGGUUCUGAAUGGAAGGGCCAUCGCUCAACGGAUAAAAGGUACUCCGGGGAUAACAGGCUGAUACCGCCCAAGAGUUCAUAUCGACGGCGGUGUUUGGCACCUCGAUGUCGGCUCAUCACAUCCUGGGGCUGAAGUAGGUCCCAAGGGUAUGGCUGUUCGCCAUUUAAAGUGGUACGCGAGCUGGGUUUAGAACGUCGUGAGACAGUUCGGUCCCUAUCUGCCGUGGGCGCUGGAGAACUGAGGGGGGCUGCUCCUAGUACGAGAGGACCGGAGUGGACGCAUCACUGGUGUUCGGGUUGUCAUGCCAAUGGCACUGCCCGGUAGCUAAAUGCGGAAGAGAUAAGUGCUGAAAGCAUCUAAGCACGAAACUUGCCCCGAGAUGAGUUCUCCCUGACUCCUUGAGAGUCCUGAAGGAACGUUGAAGACGACGACGUUGAUAGGCCGGGUGUGUAAGCGCAGCGAUGCGUUGAGCUAACCGGUACUAAUGAACCGUGAGG
rnacentral:rRNA from 1 species